rnacentral:rRNA from 1 species
ACGCUGGCGGCAUGCCUAACACAUGCAAGUCGAACGAGACCUUCGGGUCUAGUGGCGCACGGGGUGCGUAACGCGUGGGAAUCUGCCCUUGGGUUCGGAAUAACUUCGGGAAACUGAAGCUAAUACCGGAUGAUGACGUAAGUCCAAAGAUUUAUCGCCCUGAGAUAAGCCCGCGUAGGAUUAGCUAGUUGGUGGGGUAAAGGCUCACCAAGGCGACGAUCCUUAGCUGGUCUGAGAGGAUGAUCAGCCACACUGGGACUGAGACACGGCCCAGACUCCUACGGGAGGCAGCAGUGGGGGAAUAUUGGACAAUGGGCGAAAGCCUGAUCCAGCAAUGCCGCGUGAGUGAUGAAGGCCUUCGGGUUGUAAAGCUCUUUUACUCGGGACGAUAAUGACGGUACCGAGAGAAUAAGCCCCGGCUAACUCCGUG